UGGAAUGGAGCUCAAUUGGUAGAGCACUUGCCUGGCAUGCAUGAAUCUCUGGGUUUCAACAAGGUGUGGUGGUGUAGGUCUGUCAUUCCAG
rnacentral:tRNA from 1 species